rnacentral:rRNA from 1 species
ACUCCUGCGGGAGGCAGCAGUGGGGAAUUUUACGCAAUGGGGGAAACCCUGACGUAGCGACACCGCGUGAGCGAAGAAGCCCUUUGGGGUGUAAAGCUCUGUCAGCUGGAACGAAAACAAUGACGGUACCAGCAGAGGAAGCAUCGGCUAACUACGUGCCAGCAGCCGCGGUAAGACGUAGGAUGCGAGCGUUGUCCGGAUUUAUUGGGCGUAAAGAGUUCGUAGGUGGUUUGUUAAGUUUGGUGUUAAAGAUCGGGGCUCAACCCUGGGACUGCACUGAAUACUGGCAGACUCGAGUGUGGUAGAGGCUAGUGGAAUUCCCAGUGUAGCGGUGAAAUGCGUAGAUAUUGGGAAGAACACCGGUGGCGUAGGCGACUAGCUGGGCCAUAACUGACGCUGAGGAACGAAAGCCAGGGGAGCGAAUGGGAUUAGAUACCCCAGUAGUCCCAUGAU